CUGGCUCAGGAUGAACGCUAGCUACAGGCUUAACACAUGCAAGUCGAGGGGCAGCGGGAAGAAAGCUUGCUUCUUGUCGGCGACCGGCGCACGGGUGAGUAACGCGUAUCCAACCUUCCCCUUAGUAGGGCAUAGCCCGGCGAAAGUCGGAUUAAUACCCUAUGUUAUUCGUAGAGGACAUCUGAAAUGAAUCAAAGAUUUAUCGCUAAGGGAUGGGGAUGCGUCUGAUUAGGUAGUCGGCGGGGUAACGGCCCACCGAGCCUACGAUCAGUAGGGGUUCUGAGAGGAAGGUCCCCCACAUUGGAACUGAGACACGGUCCAAACUCCUACGGGAGGCAGCAGUGAGGAAUAUUGGUCAAUGGGCGCGAGCCUGAACCAGCCAAAAGUAGCGUGCAGGAUGACGGCCCUAUGGGUUGUAAACUGCUUUUAUACGGGGAUAAAGUGAGGGACGCGUCCCUUUUUGUAGGUACCGUAUGAAUAAGGACCGGCUAAUUCCGUGCCAGCAGCGGC
rnacentral:rRNA from 1 species